AUGGGGGGGGAUUUAUGUCACCACAAACAGAAACUAAAGCAAAGGUUGGGUUCCAAGCUGGUGUUAAAGAUUAUAAAUUGACUUAUUAUACUCCUGAAUAUCAAACCAAAGAUACUGAUAUCUUGGCAGCAUUCCGAGUAACUCCUCAACCAGGAGUUCCGGCUGAAGAAGCAGGUGCAGCGGUAGCUGCAGAAUCUUCCACUGAGCCUGUUCCUGGAGAAGAUAAUCAAUUUAUUGCUUAUGUAGCUUAUCCCUUAGACCUUUUUGAAGAAGGUUCUGUUACUAACAUGUUUACCUCCAUUGUAGGUAAUGUAUUUGGGUUCAAGGCUUUACGCGCUCUACGUCUGGAAGAUUUGCGAAUCCCUAAUGCUUAUGUUAAAACUUUCCAAGGUCCUCCUCACGGAAUCCAAGUUGAGAGAGAUAAAUUGAACAAGUAUGGACGUCCCCUAUUGGGAUGUACUAUUAA